rnacentral:lncRNA from 1 species
ACAAACAUACUUACCCGAAUAUAUUGCAAAGGAUUUAACGACAACCAACGAGGAGAGACAAACCAAAAAAAUUAAGAAAAAAAAGGAAACAGGAAGAACAAAACAACAAAAAGAAAAAAAAAGAAAAAGAAAGGAACAUUAAUUUUAAUGGUUAAAACCACCAGUCAGGAUUCCAACAAUAAUAAAAAAUAUUUCCUAACACACACGCUGAGACUCGAACAUAUAACCAGAGAGAAUACAAAAGCUUAACCAUCAAACCAGCAGGCUCAUUCUUGUCAUAUAUUUACAUAAAA